AAGCAUAUCAAUAAGCGGAGGAAAAGAAACCAACAGGGAUUGCCUCAGUAACUGCGAGUGAAGCGGCAAAAGCUCAAAUUUGAAAUCUGGCGUCCUCUGGGUGUCCGAGUUGUAAUUUGGAGGAGCGUCUUCGGGAGCGGCACUGUCCUAAGUUCUUUGGAACAGGACGUCAUAGAGGGUGAGAAUCCCGUGCCUGGGCGGUUGCCCGUUCCCAUGUGAAGUGCUUCCGACGAGUCGAGUUGUUUGGGAAUGCAGCUCAAAAUGGGUGGUAAAUUUCAUCUAAAGCUAAAUAUUGGCGAGAGACCGAUAGCGCACAAGUAGAGUGAUCGAAAGAUGAAAAGCACUUUGAAAAGAGAGUUAAAAAGUACGUGAAAUUGUUGAAAGGGAAGCGCUUGAGAUCAAACUCGGCCUUUGGUGAUCCACUGGGCUUCUGUCCGGUGAAACUUUGCCAUUGGCCGGGCCAGCAUCGGUUCUGACGGUGGGAAAAACGGCCGGGGAAUGUGGCUCCUCUCGGGGAGUGUUAUAGACCUGGCCUUAGAUACCGCCAGUUGGGACCGAGGACCGCGCUUCGGCUAGGAUGCUGGCGUAAUGGUCUUAAGCGACCCGUCUUGA
rnacentral:rRNA from 1 species